rnacentral:rRNA from 1 species
AGUGUAGGCGGUCAAGCAAGUCAGAGGUGAAAGGCAUCGGCUCAACCGAUGUAAGCCUUUGAAACUGUUUGACUUGAGUGCAGGAGAGGUAAGUGGAAUUCCUAGUGUAGCGGUGAAAUGCGUAGAUAUUAGGAGGAACACCAGUGGCGAAGGCGACUUACUGGACUGUAACUGACGCUGAGGCUCGAAAGCGUGGGGAGCGAACA